rnacentral:sRNA from 1 species
CCCAGAGCCUCCAGAACCCAAGGCCUCCUCUCAGUCCCCACCCAACCCAGACUUCUCCCCGCCCGUAGGUUGAAGCCCCUGCCCACGGUCCUCCCAUCCAUCCACCAGCUGCACCCCGCAUCCCCAAGGGGCUCCAGCUUCAUAGCGCUGAGCCACAAGCUGGGGCUGCCUCCAGGGAAGGUGAGUGCCCGUCUCCUGUGACUUGUCUCCCCAGCCCCACCCCAGGUGACCGUCCUUCCCUCCUCCUCCAGGCCUCGGAGCUGCUCCUGCCGGCGGCUGCCUCUCUUCGCCAGGACCUUCUGUUCCUGCAGGACCAGCGGAGCCUCUGGUGCUGGGAUCUACUCCACAUGAAGACCAGCCUGCCGCCAGGCCCUCCCACCCAGGAGCUGCUGCAGAUCCAGGCAUCCCAGGAAAAACAGCAGAAAGAGAACCUGGGGCAGGCUCUGAAGAGGCUGGAGAAGCUACUGAAACAGGCGCUGGAGCGAAUCCCUGAGCUGCAGGGGAUCGUGGGGGACUGGUGGGAGCA